GACGAACGCUGGCGGCGUGCUUAACACAUGCAAGUCGAACGGUGAAGGGACUGGUUUUGCUGGUCCUGGAUGAGUGGCGAACGGGUGAGUAACACGUGAGUAACCUGCCCCCUUCUUCUGGAUAACCGCAUGAAAGUGUGGCUAAUACGGGAUAUUCUGGGUCUGUCGCAUGGUGGGCCUGGGAAAGAUUGCGCCUUUUUUGGUGUUUUUGGUGGGGGAUGGGCUCGCGGCCUAUCAGCUUGUUGGUGGGGUGAUGGCCUACCAAGGCGGUGACGGGUAGCCGGCCUGGGAGGGUGGACGGUCACACUGGGACUGAGACACGGCCCAGACUCCUACGGGAGGCAGCAGUGGGGAAUAUUGCACAAUGGGCGCAAGCCUGAUGCAGCGACGCCGCGUGAGGGAUGGAGGCCUUCGGGUUGUGAACCUCUUUCGCCAGUGAAGCAGGCCUGCCUCUUUUUGUGGGUGGGUUGACGGUAGCUGGAUAAGAAGCGCCGGCUAACUACGUG
rnacentral:rRNA from 1 species